AUACUCGGCUGGGAGAGGCGAUCACGGAGCCGGUUGUCCCCAGGCAGGGAUUAUCCUUUGCGCUCCGGAUGUGCUGAACCCUGCGAUCUCCCCCAAAUGUGGGAACCUCGGCUGCGUCAUUUGGGGUAGCGGGGGGAACUACAUUCGUGCUUUCCCCUG
rnacentral:snRNA from 1 species